rnacentral:rRNA from 1 species
AUUGAACGCUGGCGGCGUGCUUUACACAUGCAAGUCGAACUGCAGCACAGCUAGCAAUAGUGGGUGGCGAGUGGCGAACGGGUGAGUAAUACAUCGAGACGUGCCUGAUAGUUGGGGAUAACGCAUCGAAAGAUGAGCUAAUACCGAAUAAUCUCUGAGGAGGAAAGCUGGGGACCUGCGAGGGCCUGGCGCUAAUAGAGCGGUCGAUGGUCGAUUAGUUAGUUGGUGGGGUAAAAGCUUACCAAGGCGAUGAUCGAUAGCCGUUCUGAGAGGAAGAUCAGCCACACUGGAACUGAGAGACGGUCCAGACUCCUACGGGAGGCAGCAGUGGGGAAUUUUGGACAAUGGGGGCAACCCUGAUCCAGCAACGCCGCGUGAAUGAAGAAGGCCUUAGGGUUGUAAAGUUCUUUUGUCUGGGGGCAAAGCGCUAUGGUUAAGAGCUGUAGUGAAUGAGAGUACCAGAAGAAUAAGCACCGGCUAACUACGUGCCAGCCGCCGCCGUAA